UACGUAGGGCGCAAGCGUUAUCCGGAAUUAUUGGGCGUAAAGAGCUCGUAGGCGGUUUGUCGCGUCUGCCGUGAAAGUCCGGGGCUCAACUCCGGAUCUGCGGUGGGUACGGGCAGACUAGAGUGAUGUAGGGGGAGACUGGAAUUCCCGGUGUAGCGGUGAAAUGCGCAGAUAUCAGGAGGAACACCGAUGGCGAAGGCAGGUCUCUGGGCAUUAACUGACGCUGAGGAGCGAAAGCAUGGGGAGCGAACAGG
rnacentral:rRNA from 1 species